rnacentral:rRNA from 1 species
CGAACGGGUGAGUAAUGCGUGACCAACCUGCCCCAUGCUCCAGAAUAGCUCUUGGAAACGGGUGGUAAUGCUGGAUGCUCCAACUUGACGCAUGUCUUGUUGGGAAAGUGUUUAGUGGCAUGGGAUGGGGUCGCGUCCUAUCAGCUUGUGGGCGGGGUAAUGGCCCACCUAGGCUUCGACGGGUAGCCGGCCUGAGAGGGCGGACGGCCACAUUGGGACUGAGAUACGGCCCAGACUCCUACGGGAGGCAGCAGUG